rnacentral:rRNA from 1 species
AGGACGAACGCUGGCGGCGUGCUUAACACAUGCAAGUCGAGCGGAAAGGCCCUUCGGGGUACUCGAGCGGCGAACGGGUGAGUAACACGUGAGUAACCUGCCCCUAGCUCUGGGAUAGCUCCGGGAAACCGGGAUUAAAUACCAGAUACGACCACUUUAGACAUCUGUCGUGGUGGAAAGGAUUCCGGCUAGGGAUGGGCUCGCGGCCUAUCAGCUAGUUGGUGGAGUAACGGCCCACCAAGGCGACGACGGGUA